GCCCUCCAGCUCUGUGCUGAUGCUGCUUACAGUCAACACAGUUGCAGUCUCUUGGGUUGUGGGUGACUGGCUGCAGCUUCUCUUCUUUAUCCCCAACACUUGGCCUCCCAGUUCCACUCUGUCCUUGGUCACUCUGAUUCCUCUUAAGCCACUCUAUUGCUGAUCUUUCUCAUACAUCACACACACUUGUCCCGGCUCCAACAGUCACGUCCUAUAAUUCCUCCCUCCCUACUUUCUCUGGCCACCAUAUCCUGCCAGGGCCCUGAGACUUAGAACAUAGAAAUUAGAAGAAUUUAAUUCCAAUGAGCUCAUAAAAUCCCUGAAGUUGAAAGCAGAGCAUUCUUUGUCGCUUGAGAAAGGGUAGAGGAGUUGAGGGAAGAGAGAACUAAACCUAUGAAAGACAGUCACCUUUUUCCACAUCUCAUCCCUCUUGCUGUUGAAGUCGCCUGUGCCUGGGAUGUCCACCAGCACGACCCCUUCUGGGAUCAGGUCGGAUUUGGGAAGAGUCACUUCCACAUGUUUGAUCAAGGGCCAGAUGUGCAUCUCAGUGGCCUCUCCAUCCCAGUCUCUCCUCUGUGUGCGGAUGUAGGGGUCCAGCUUGAUGGACAGCUCUUCUGCCUGAAGAAGAAGGACAGAAUCACACACGCCAGCCAUGUUCCCAGCUCUGUUCAUCCUGGUUGGCUGUGAUGCAGGUUCAUGGACGCUAGCAUGAAGUCUAGCACCUCGGGAGCCAUCUCAUGACAAUGGGGUCGACGGAAGGCCAAGGGAACCAGAGAUGCUGAUCUUGACAUUGCUGAGCCACUAAACCAACCCCACCCCUAUUGCCCCCAAACCUCUUACAUGAGAAAAAGAAUAAAUCCCUGUUUGUUUAAGCCACUAUAA